AAGUCGUAACAAGGUUACCUUCUGCAGCGCAGCUCCGGAGACCUUGCAACCCCUAUAGGGAGGCAGCACGACAGUAAAUAAAGCUCGCCGCGUGCAAGUCGACCCGUUGGUCAGCAACACAAUCGAAUUGACGGGGACCUCCUAAAGCCUGCAACACCAACCGUCCGAGGAAACUCGGGCGAGGCCCUCACGGGAUGGUAAGAGAGUGCAGGAUGAACAAUGGACGAUCCGCAGCGAAGACCCUAAGGCUCUAUGCUACGGGUACCGUUCACAGACUAAGUGAUUGUGGGCAGAGCACGGUGCUCUGUCUAAGAUAUAGUCGGCCUCUGCCCGAAAGGACGGAGAAUAGCGUGUCCGUAGGUGAACCUGCGGAAGGAUCAUUAAAGAACGCCCCGUUUUUUACAAAUGGGUUUCAAUACCCCAACCGUGUAUACCUUACCUUUGUUGCUUUGGCGGGCCGCCUUGAGGCGUUGGCUCCGGCUGACUGCGCCCGCCAGAGAACCCAAACUCGUUUGCUUAGUGAUGUCUGAGUACUAUAAAAUUUUUAAAA
rnacentral:misc_RNA from 1 species